rnacentral:lncRNA from 1 species
UCGUCUUCUCCUGAGGUGGGGUUUCAACGGAUCUUGUUUUCUCCUGCGGUUUUUCACGAGGCGGGUUCUCGACGGAUCUUGUCUUCUCCUGCGGUUUUUCACGAGGUGGGUUCUCGACGGAUCUCGUCGUCCUAUGUUGCGGUUUUUCACGAGGCGGGGUAGCGGCGGGUCUCAGUUUAUGUCCUGUUUCCGGCAGUGGAAACGUGGGAUGUAACGCCGGCAUCGCCACCAGCGGCGGAGGAAACUUUUUA